CAUAUGCGUAUUUUUCCAGGUGCCCGCAGGGGAGAAUAGGGAACCGGGUGUGAUUUCCCGGACGGACCCGCCACUGUAAGCAGAUACGAUCCUGGCACAGCCACCGGAUGGUUUACCAUUCCGGGAAGGGACAGGGGAGGUUAAGCUGCUAAGUCAGGAGACCUGCCUGAGAAAACUUAAUCAC
rnacentral:ncRNA from 1 species